rnacentral:pre_miRNA from 1 species
UUUUUACCAUAAGUAUGUCCCAUGCAAUAUUUGGGACAUACUUAUACUAAAG